UACGGAAGGCAGCAGUGGGGAAUAUUGCACAAUGGGCGCAAGCCUGAUGCAGCCAUGCCGCGUGUAUGAAGAAGGCCUUCGGGUUGUAAAGUACUUUCAGUCGUGAGGAAGGUGUUAAGGUUAAUAACCUUAGCAAUUGACGUUAGCGACAGAAGAAGCACCGGCUAACUCCGUGCCAGCAGCCGCGGUAAUACGGAGGGUGCGAGCGUUAAUCGGAAUUACCGGGCGUAAAGGGCACGCAGGCGGUUAAUUAAGUUGGAUGUGAAAUCCCCGGGCUUAACCUGGGAAUGGCAUCCAAGACUGGUUAGCUAGAGUCUUGUAGAGGGGGUAGAAUUCCAUGUGUAGCGGUGAAAUGCGUAGAGAUGUGGAGGAAUACCGGUGGCGAAGGCGGCCCCUGGACAAAGACUGACGCUCAUGUGCGAAAGCGUGGGGAGCAAACAGGGAUUAGAUACC
rnacentral:rRNA from 1 species